rfam:Pterocles gutturalis contig78294, whole genome shotgun sequence.
CCACAACUUUAAUGUGGAUGUACUUGCUUUGCUCCUGAAAAGUAAGUGCUUCCAUGUUUUAGUGAUGG